rnacentral:rRNA from 1 species
CAGCCGCCGCGGUAAUACCGGCGGCCCGAGUGGCGGCCGUGUUUAUUGGGCCUAAAGGGUCCGUAGCCGGCCCCGUAAGUCUCCCGGGAAAUCGGGCGGCUCAACCGUCCGCUUCCGGGAGAUACUGCGGGGCUAGGGACCGGGAGAGGCCGGGGGUACUCCCGGGGUAGGGGUAAAAUCCUAUAAUCCCGGGGGGACCACCUGUGGCGAAGGCGCCCGGCUGGAACGGGUCCGACGGUGAGGGACGAAGGCCGGGGGAGCAAACCGGAUUAGAUACCCGGGUAGUCCCGGCUGUAACGCUGCGGGCUAGGUGGCGGGAGGUCCUUGGGAACUCCCGGUGCCGAAGGGAAGCCGGAAGCCCGCCGCCUGGGGAGUACGGCCGCAAGGCUGAAACUUAAAGGAAUUGGCGGG